UGACUGUAAAAACCUCAAGAGUAGCUAAAAUUAAAGAGCAAAGUCUUUUCUAAUAAGCCCGCGUUCUAUUUCGGUUUCCCACUCCCACCACUACUCCUGGUUCAACACGAAAUUAUUUAGGUUUCUCCUCUAUUGCCUCUUGCUGCAAAUUUAAGGUUUCUUCUCCAUUGUUUUGUUUGAAGAAGAAGUCGCGAAGAAGAAAUCACCUCGUUGCCUUUGGUAAUUUCAAUUGCGAUUGCACCAUCAUUUAUUGUUUUGGAGUUCAAUCAUUGCUCUUGUUCUCUUUUUCCAGGUAUUAAUUCUUCUUCUUUGCUAUUGUAAUUACUUUUGUAGUUAAAUUUUAGGUUCUUUGGUUUUUUAAACUUUGCAAUUGAACACCCUUGAUGCUUUCUUUUCAAUUUUGAACUUGUUGAUGAUGAAUUAGAGAUGCUUUCUUUUGAUUGAAACCUUGCUUCUUUCAUGAAUUGUAAUAAUAUCAAAAAUCUAUUUUUUUUUUUCAAUUUUCUUUUUAAUUGUAGAUAUAUUUAGUGGUACCUUGACCUAUGUGGUUAAAACAAUAAAGUCAUGGGCGAGAAGCCAAGAACUUUAUUUUGUCCGACUUUAAACAAAGUCUGACUUCCCACAAACAAUAACAGUCUACUUGGCUGCUGCAAUAACCCCCUGCCUCUUAUUUGGCCUUAGACACCUGUAACCUGCAUACCGGCCUUCAACAUUACCUUACCCGUUGGUUGUUUCUGCUGGUCAUUAGUCCGCAAGUUUGAUUGUGUUAGGCUAUUAGUUAUUGCCACCUAUAUGUGGCAGCGAAGCUAUAGUUGAUGAAACAGUUUUUUAGUUCUUAAGGUACUGGUCAUUAGUCCGCAAGUUUGAUUGUGUUAGACUAUUAGUUAUUGUCAUCAUGGGCGAACUUCCCUGUAAUAGGUAAGUGCACGAUGCUCCAGUGAAGUUAAGAAACUUGGUCGUAGAUCCCACCACUGCACAGCCCUUUUGCUCAGUUUUGAGCCAAACUUUGCACAACAGUCAACUCCAAAAUUGACCUCCCUCCAUGCACUAGUGAUGUUAAGCCAUACAAAUUUUACCUUUAAGAACAGUGGCCAUCUUUUCCUUAAAGUACAAUGUACUUGGUCCUAGCUUUUGAAUGCUUGUACCACUGAUGUAGAGUCACAUUGAACCCAUACCUGUAGCCAACCUUGUUCAAUUGCUUUUUUAAGACCAGGAAUCACUGCAGCAACUUCUGCAUUAUAAUUGGUGUCAAUGCCCAGACCUCCAGUAAGGACUCCUAGUACUCUGUAGGUAUGAUCUCUGUAUAGACAUCCCCGGCCUGCCAUCCCUGCAUUUCCAACAGAGGAACCAUUUGUGUUCAGUUUAUAACUACGCCAUUAGGUGGGGGCAACCAGUAGUAGUCUGUAGGAAAUAAUGUUUAUAACCAUGGACAUAAUAUACCAGGCUAUUUUGGGUGGGGACCUUUUGAGCAGGGUUAACAACUAUUUUCAUUUCAUUCAUCAACUUGUAAAUUUAGUUUGAGCAGAUAAAAUGAAAGCAGUGGUAUACAAUGGUGUAUGCAUUCAUUUUCAUGGUAUUCAUGAAACAGUUAUAAACCAAUUGAAGUUCGGGUCAUGAGCAAUAUAUGCAGUUGUAAUCUAGUUCCAUUGCACCCCCCUUCAACCCUUUGUUACAGUGACUACGUAGUCUAGUAUCAAUUCAGUAACACUUCAGCCCCUUAACAGUUGGAAUCCACCUUUGGGAACCUCCAGCCAUCCCCAUACAGUAAGUUUAAUUUACCGAAUGAUACUGCACAUAUUGACGAUCAUGUUUAAUGUUUAGGCUCAAGAAUGUAGCUUGGCUUUGGGUGAUAAAGGUAACAUUGUGGCUAAAGAAACUGUAUUUGAGAGGAUGGGAGCAGACAAUAAACUUCACUCUGUUCC
rnacentral:lncRNA from 1 species